ACAAACUCGUGAAGCAUGCCAUACUAUUCAUCUUCUUCCCCAAGAGAAAAGAAAACCCUAAAUGCCGUUGCCGCCCUUGUCUUCUCUGUUUAAUGUCGCGCAACCCUACGUUCACGCCUUUCUCUAUUGAGUCGAGAAGAUCUGACUUGACCGUCGAUCGCAUCAAGGGUCGAGUGGUUUCGAAGCUCCAUCUUCAUCAUGUCCUCUUCUCCAUCUCGAGUCUUUGUCGUUCAUUAUAGAUUGGAGUUGUUUCUUCGCAAGUCGUGCAUGUUCCAGCCGACGUUCCUUUGUUCACCGUCACCUCCCAAUCACGAUCAUCGAAGCCCAACCGCGUGCAUCCAUUUUUCCUCACGCUCGAGCUGAUCUCCUUACACCUAAGCCAAUGCUUCACGUCCGAGCGAUCCCCUCUAUAUGAGUCACCUGAGUCGAUUGUUUCUCCCAACCGAGCCACAACCCUUUUCCCAAGUCAAGUUACAUUUUUGGUACUCUUGAACCACUUUUGGUCAUUGGCAUUUUGGGAAAAAAUGGUGUGGUUGUGAACUUAUUUCCAUACAAGGUUGUUUUGGAUUCAACCUUAGCCUUAAGGUAAACUUACGUUAAACUUGGAUGUUAAGUGACAAAUUUUAUUAAUUUAAGUUUCGUUAAGUUUAGGAUUCAUAUGUUUGGGGAGCUUUGACUGGUGUUGAUAUGAUUAAAUAUUAUUUAGCUAGUCGCGAGGUAAGAGAUUCUCUUAUUAGACCUUCAACAUUGAAGCAUGCAUGUAUGUUCCUUAUUAUGCAUUAAUGUAGGCAAGAUGCAUAAUAUGACUAUUAGAUAUGAAUGUUAUGAAUGACUACAUAGAUGACCAUUAUGUAUGAACGAGAUAUGUAUAAUUAAGAUAUGUUAUGACCACAAUACAUUAUGAACGAGAUAUGCUAUGAUUGUUAUACUUAUGA